rnacentral:snoRNA from 14 species
UUAUCUAUUAUAUUCUCAUGACAUUUUGAUCCACUUGUGAUCAGCACAAGAUCAGUAUAAAGUUGAAGUUGAUCAAUUUGUGGAGCAUGGAUCCUGAAUAUACCGACGAUU